AUUGAACGCUGGCGGCAGGCCUAACACAUGCAAGUCGAGCGAGCGGCGGACGGGUGAGUAAUGUAUGGGGACCUGCCCGAUAGAGGGGGAUGACUACUGGAAAAGGUGGCUAAUACCGCAUACUAUCGGUUGAACCCAUCUGGGAUUAGCUAGUAGGGGGGGUAAAGGCUCACCUAGGCGACGAUCUCUAGCUGGUCUGAGAGGAUGAUCAGCCACACUGGGACUGAGACACGGCCCAGACUCCGACGGGAGGCAGCAGUGGGGAAUAUUGCACAAUGGGCGCAAGCCUGAUGCAGCCAUGCCGCGUGUAUGAAGAAGGCUUUAGGGUUGUAAAGCACUUUCGGCGGGGAAGCGUUACCCGCAGAGGAAGCACCGGCUAACUCCGUGCCAGCCGCCGCGGUAAUUC
rnacentral:rRNA from 1 species